AAAUAGAUACCCGGGUAGGUACACACCGUAAACGAUGAGUGCUAAGUGUUGGGGGGUUUCCGCCCCUCAGUGCUGCAGCUAACGCAUUAAGCACUCCGCCUGGGGAGUACGGUCGCAAGACUGAAACUCAAAGGAAUUGACGGGGGCCCGCACAAGCGGUGGAGCAUGUGGUUUAAUUCGAAGCAACGCGAAGAACCUUACCAGGUCUUGACAUCCCGGUGACCACUAUGGAGACAUAGUUUCCCCUUCGGGGGCAACGGUGACAGGUGGUGCAUGGUUGUCGUCAGCUCGUGUCGUGAGAUGUUGAGUUAAGUCCCGCAACGAGCGCAACCCUUAUUCUUAGUUGCCAUCAUUCAGUUGGGCACUCUAAGGAGACUGCCGGUGAUAAACCGGAGGAAGGUGGGGAUGACGUCAAAUCAUCAUGCCCCUUAUGACCUGGGCUACACACGUGCUACAAUGGACGGUACAAACGGUUGCCAACCCGCGAGGGGGAGCUAAUCCGAUAAAACCGUUCUCAGUUCGGAUUGUAGGCUGCAACUCGCCUAC
rnacentral:rRNA from 1 species